CCGGUGAGAGGGUCACCGGCCGACACUGGGACUGAGACACGGUCCUACGGGAGGCAGNAGUGGGGAAUAUUGCACAAUGGGCGAAAGCCUGAUGCAGNAACGCCGNGUGGGUGAAGAAGGCUCUUGGGUCGUAAAGCCCUUUAGCACGGGAACAAGGGAGCUCAGGCGAAUAGGUUGAGNUUUUUGACGGUACCGUGAAAAUAAGCA
rnacentral:rRNA from 1 species